rnacentral:rRNA from 1 species
CACGUAGGGUGCGAGCGUUGUCCGGAAUUAUUGGGCGUAAAGAGCUCGUAGGCGGUGUGUCGCGUCGGCCGUGAAAACCUGCAGCUUAACUGUGGGCGUGCGGUCGAUACGGGCAUCACUGGAGUUCGGCAGGGGAGACUGGAAUUCCUGGUGUAGCGGUGAAAUGCGCAGAUAUCAGGAGGAACACCGGUGGCGAAGGCGGUGGUCUGGGCCGGCACUGACGCUGAGGAGCGAAAGCGUGGGGAGCGAACAGG